CAGUAGCCACGGUAAUACAGAGGGUGCAAGCGUUAAUCGGAAUUACUGGGCGUAAAGCGCGCGUAGGUGGUUUGUUAAGUCGGAUGUGAAAUCCCCGGGCUCAACCUGGGAACUGCAUCCGAAACUGGCAAGCUAGAGUAUGGUAGAGGGUAGUGGAAUUUCCUGUGUAGCGGUGAAAUGCGUAGAUAUAGGAAGGAACACCAGUGGCGAAGGCGACUACCUGGACUGAUACUGACACUGAGGUGCGAAAGCGUGGGGAGCAAACAGGAUUAGAUACCCCUGUAGUCCCUGUCUCUUAUAC
rnacentral:rRNA from 1 species